ACCUACCGGAGAGGCGCUGAGAGAUGGUCAAGACUUUUCAACCUCCACACCUGGCUGCGAGCGACCUGUGCUUCAUUAGACAUUGACUGUGUUAACAACUUUGACCUGUUCUGGGAGAGGCCCAGCCUGCUGAAGCAUGAUGGCCUCCACCCAAACCGGAUCGGAGCCAGUCUGCUGUCGGACAACAUGAAGACCACCCUAAGGCACUGACAUCCUGUAGAAAACAUCACAGACUCAUGCCCCCCAGACCACAGAUCUAACGACUUUUAGAAGGUCUGCUGUUCUUCAUGGUAUUCCCCUGUACUUGAGAGAGCCAGCUUCAAUUUCAAAGACUAUUAAGGAUACUGAGGCACUGGGGCUACACACAAAGGCCAUGAAAAUGGGGAUCCUGGAGGUGACUGACAGUUCUACCAACUCAGGAGCAUAUCCCACAGUGGUCAAUGUGGCUGUAGUACUGGAGGAGGAAGUUGUCAUGGACAAUUUGGGAGACUUCACAAAUGCCCUCAUGAUCCUCUUCGGUCUACUUUUUGCUCUAAAUAUGGAGUACCCUAAGGACUUAAAGUACACAUUCGAGGCAGUCCAGAAGAUUCUCUUAAACCUGGGAAUAGAGUGCACAGCAAGGAUACAGUCCUUGAAGAAAAAGUUAUUACAGGUUUAAUGGUCAUUACAUGUUAAUUGCCAGUCAUUGAGGUAUUUUGAAGUAUCAAAGGUUUCAUGCAAAUGUUUCUGUUAAAAUGUUCUGACUUUUUUUGUUGAAUUUUUGUACUGUAAAAGUAAUUUGAAGAAUGAUUGUGUGUUUGUUGAAAACAAUAUGUGGGGAGCAGUUUAUUUCCGAGUAAUUUGAAUUUUGUCAUACUCAUGUCAUACUCAUUUGUCAUACUCAUGACAUGACCUUGUCAUACUCAUAAUUCUAGUCAGAAUAUGAGUCUGAUACUGCUCCAUUAGGCUGUGAUUUUGGGGCGUGUUUCAACCGAACCAGGAAAAAAAAUGCCUCUUCGCUCAAUUGGUUACCUACAACCAAUCAGAGCAACGUAGUAUGUGACCAGGGCCAGCUGAUAAAUUAAACUUUUACCGAAUCCCGUAGGAAGGACGACAAAAACAUCUUUUCAUCAACAAAUGCCUUGGUCGUGUUUCUCUGUUCCUCUUUCAAAAUGAAUGCGCUGUCUUCUAAAACAGACUUUCAUAGCAGAACACAUCUCAGCUCUCCAGCGGCAGCCAUGUUUGUUGAAAACAAAUUCAAACCAAGAGCUCUUUGGUGACGUGGUUGAUUACGUUACUGUUGAUCAUCUGUCCAUCAUCGUAUAAAGCCCGCCCUGACAAUUUGAUUGGUCCGACCAUUUAUGUUCGGAGAUAGUUUCUCCCCAACGGAGCAAUGCCAGACCGAACUUCCCGACCUCAAAUGUUGUGGGCGGGACUAAGUUCGACUGGUUCCCAGGCUACCGCUAGUGGAUACAUGAACAUCUUACUUUAUUUUGAAACUGGAAACUGGGUAUGCUGUCAUUGACUUUUCUGAAGUAUUUGUUAACUAAACUUCGCUACUGGCCUGAGGAUUACAGUGUCUCUUGCAGUAAAGGCUAGCAAUCAGAGACGUCUGCAUCUGUUCUCACUGGAUGAGACCGUAUUUUUGUGCACCAAAGACGACGACUCAUCACGUUUGUAUGACAGUGACGACCAUGUUUGAAAAAUCAAAAUUAAAAAACGUAUUAAAAAUAGUAAUAUUAGUAACCUCCUGUUUUUUUCUGACUAGCUAACUCUCCAGUAACGUCUUCGUAUGGCGUCACUGAGAAGUGUUGGUUUACAACUAGCACCAGCCUCAUCGUUCUCCAAAUUGAUAAGACAUAGCUAGAUCAAUGAAAUUUGAAUGGAUUGUAAACAUUGGCUGGAGUUCAGCCCUACUUUUUUUUUAUUCUCACUUCUAUUUAUUCUUCGUUCUCUACUCUACUUCGUCUCUACUACAGUAGUUAUUCAAAUCCCUCCAUUCUUUUUUGAGCUGUAAGCUCAUGGUAACAACAGUCGCUAAAGACAAUCAAUAGCAAGAUAACCAUUUAUAAUAUAUUUAAAACCUCAUAUUGGAAAGGCAUGGUUAGAUUUCAUUGAAAUCGAUAUUUGUCAUAGAUAUUUAGGAUGCACAAAUGGUCAGUCUACAGAGACAUCAAAGCUGUCUCUUAAUCCCAUUAGGUCUGGUUCCUGCCAUUUGUCUGAGAGCCAUCAGCCCUGCAUCCUGGUCCUUUGUAUGAAGCCAGCUAGUUGAUUGCCAAACUAGGUGUGGGACAGACAUAUGUAUUAAAUUAGGGUGAGAGUCCUAACCAGAUUAAUUAGCAGUCAUCCCUUCAGUUCUGAUACCUCCCCCCAGACACACCAUUUCCCCUCCCAUACCUAAGGUUAUUGUUUACAUGUUAAUUGUAUUGUAUAAGAGACGUGAGGCUCGGCUAAUACUUUGAAAGAUUCCUCUCGUAUACCUCGGUAUGCGAAGUUGAUUGUUCAAUUUGCGCUGGAAUAAACCAUUUCUUGUUGAACACUUUCCCGAGUUCCUGACUAUCUGCAAAACCGUAAACUUGGAUCUAAAACGAAAUUACGAGAUCUUUCAGCAUUCAGCAGAUUAUUCGACAACCAGCUAGUAAUAUGUUGUGAUGUUAAAUUUUUAGCUGGUACAGCUUUUAAGCUGUAGAAAGCCAAUCACAAUCAAAUCAGUGCUCAUAUAGGACCAUAGUAUAGGACAUCAUAAAAUGUAUAGUAGAUGUGCAAUAGCUAGUCCGUAUGUAGUUCACACUGGGAUAUUGAGCCGAUGAUGUGACAGAAAACAAUUGACAGAAAAAUGGAGGAAACACUAAUGACUAAUGACACUGUGAUGGCUUACAAUAAUGGGAUAGUUUUUUCUUUUAUGCGUCAGGAUGUCGCGUGUUCCAGCUCAUCUGAGAGUAGAUAAGUGAGUGAGGGUGCUGUGGCAGCAGAGAGGAGUGAGGACAUGAGGGAGAGGAACAGCGAGAGGCCUGGUGAGCGUAAGGAAGCUUCAGUAGGACAGAGUAGGUUUCUCACUAAAGGAAUUGAAGGACAAAAGUUGUCCGCAUACAAGUGGUGGUGUUUGUAUAGGUUGUCUGACAUAAGAUCCAUUACUACCCUCUAUCCCAAACCAAAUAUCAUCUGCCACACACCCCUCUUUGCCUGUUUAUACAUUGAAUGCUAAACAGUAUUCUUUCAGGGAGUCACAGAGACACCAGAUCUUAAUAUACAUAUACUGUAUAUGCAGAUGCAUAUACUGUUUCCAAAGUAACAUGCCGUCAAAUUUAAUCAUGGCCUCACCUACUGAGAGAUUUUUCCAUGGUCGAAUAAGUUUUAGGACGUUCUCCUAGAGGACACACAUUACAGUUUUUUCCGAUCACUUUUAAACUUGUGUCAAUACCAUGUACACUUUUUCCAAAACUCUUCACACAGUGGGCUUAACAGACACACACCUCAGCAUAUCAGUUAACCUUUGGUGCAAAAUGCACUACAACCACCAAAAUACUUCAUACUUCAUCCAAAAGUGAGUCAUGCUGCCGUAACUUUAGCAAAUGUUCUCUCUCAGAGUACAAUGACCUAAAAAACACUAACAACUUGAAGCAUUGCCAAUUGCAUAUAUAACAUGUUGCUGUAUCCUCUAGACUGGCAUAGAUUACUGUAGGUUUGCAUUGCAAAAAGGACAAAAAACACACAAAGGCAAACACUUCUUUGGACUACAGAUAUUUGAUUAAAUGUACUUGAUCUGAGCAUAGUGUGUAAUUUAUUUGAAAUAAUGAAAAAUAGGCUUUUUGGCCAACAUGAAAUAUUUAAUUAAUGCAACAUUUUAUUUCAAUUUGAGUCUGCUUGUUGGCCCAACUAGCUAUGUUUAGUCAACAGAGAAUAUUUAAUCGACACAUUUUAUUUUAAAUUCAGACUACAUGCAGGGGUAGUCAGCACAACUAAAAAAAGUUUGUUUCCGCAACUUUACAGUUUUUUCCAAUCAUUUUAGUUCUUGUACCUAUACCAUGUUCACAUUCCCAAAACACUUAACACAUGGAGCACACCAGUAGACCAUGUGAACCAAACUGUGGAUACUUGCCCCUAUGCUUAGAUACAAAUGCUGGCAAUGACACCUUCUUCCAAAAUUCAUGGAUACCUGUCCCAGUCAAUGUUCACUACCAGCAAAACACUGUGGAACUACAGCAUUUUUUACCAAUGUUUAGAUACUCUGUUCAGAACAGUUAACUUUCAGUUCAAAACCUUACCUACAGUAUUUUAGAUCACUGUAGAUGGAAAGAUGCUUUGUUUAGACAGACA
ensembl:lncRNA